UUUGUUAUAGUUUGUGGAUUUCUGCUCACAUUCUGAUGUUAGUUUUCAUUUUAUCUACAACUAGCAUACAAUGGACACUAACAUUGCGGUCUGUCCGGUUUUCUCUAAUAGAGGCCAUAGUCGGCCUCCAGGGAAAUUAAGCUUGAAAGCUUUGGACGAAAUUAUCUGGAGCUGUGAACCUUGAAAAAGUAGUAUCGCUAAGUUAACCAUGUCAAUUACGUUAAACCCGGAGCAGUUAGGAAAAAGAUGCCAAAAUUUGUGACAUGACUACUGCCAUGU
rnacentral:lncRNA from 1 species